rnacentral:rRNA from 1 species
UUAUAGAUAAUCAUUUAAUUAUAUUAUUUUUUUUACCUUUUGCAUCAUGAUCUAUUGAUUAAUUUUAACUAUUUAUUAUUACGAAAUAUUAAGAUAAUUUUUUUCUUUAUUUAUUGGGUAAAUAAUAUUUUAAGAAAAUUAAUGUUGUGAUAAAUUAAUCGUUUAAUAUUAUAUCUUAUUAAAGAGUUUUAGUCUUAUAAUAAUAAAGCUGUAAAUAACUUUAUUAUAUUUGUAAAUUUUUUAUACUUUUAUAUAUCUGGGUUGAAAGGUAACCCUAAUUGAGUUAGUGUUUUUACUCUCUUUAUAUUUAAUUUAUUUCUUUUAUAGCUCUUUUUUAUUAACUAAAUUAUAUAAAUUAUGAUAGAAUAAGUAUUUAAUUAUAAAAUUAUUUUCUCAAACUAAUUCGGUAUGUUUAUUAAAAACAUUUCCAUAUUAAAACUAAUAUGGUAUAACCUGCUCAGUGCUUUAGUAAAUAGCCGCGGUAUUCCUGACCGUGCUAAGGUAGCAUAAUUAAUUGCCUUUUAAAUGGAGGAUUGUUUGAAUGGUUUAACCAGAAUUAACAUUUAAUAAUUUUUUAUUAGAAAUUAGAUUGUCUACACAGAUUUAGACAGUAUUAUAUUAGACGGAAAGACCCUGAAAUCUUGAAAUUUAACCAUUUUACUUGGGGUAAGACUAAAUUUUUUAUUUAGAUAAAGAACCUAUAAUAUUAUUAGUUUAAUGAUUAAGUUACUUCAGGGAUAACUGGGUUAGAAAGGUUAAUAGUACCUAUUGAAACCUUUAAUUGCCACCUCGAUGUUGACUUAGAGUAUACUUUCUGGCGCAGAAGCUUGAUAAGUAGGUCUGUUCGGCCUUUAAAUCUCUAAUGAGUUGAGUUAAGACCGGUGUAAGCCAGGUUGGUUCUUAUCUAUAUUUGAAUUUCCAUAGUACGAAAGGAUCUGGUAAUUAUUAUGUUA